UACGGGGGGGGCAAGCGUUGUUCGGAAUUACUGGGCGUAAAGGGCUCGUGGGCGGCCAACUAAGUCAUACGUGAAAUCCCUCGGCUUAACCGGGGAACUGCGUCUGAUACUGGAUGGCUUGAGUUCGGGAGAGGGAUGCGGAAUUCCAGGUGUAGCGGUGAAAUGCGUAGAUAUCUGGAGGAACACCGGUGGCGAAGGCGGCAUCCUGGACCGAUACUGACGCUGAGGAGCGAAAGCCAGGGGAGCAAACGGG
rnacentral:rRNA from 1 species